rnacentral:rRNA from 2 species
GACGAACCGUGCGAACGUUAUUCGGAAUCACUGGGCUUAAAGCGCGUGUAGGCGGGUCGAUGCAUCGGUCGUUGAAAUCCCCCGGCUUAACCGGGGAACUGGCGCCGAGAUGAUCGGUCUGGAGGGGAGUAGGGGGACCUGGAACUUCCGGUGGAGCGGUGAAAUGCGUUGAGAUCGGAAGGAACGCCCGUGGCGAAAGCGAGGUCCUGGACUUUUUCUGACGCUGAGACGCGAAAGCUAGGGGAGCAAACGGG